GGGACAGUGGCACAAUGCACUAUGAGCAUGCCUGACUAUUGAUCAGGACACUGCUGGUUCAACUCCUGCCUGGCUUG
rnacentral:tRNA from 1 species